UUGUAAGUCGUGAGUCAAAAAACUGUGGCAGCGGACACUAGUGAGAGCGACAGGAGCCGUACACGAGACCCGAGGAGACGAAGGAGGAAGAAGAAGGGCAUGCAGAACCAAUUAUUGCUUCCCACGCUGCCCGACACCCAUCAUACUGUCGGUCCUCUUCUUCCUCCUAUUUUAUUCUCUCCCCUAUUCGACGGUUCAUUGACCCCGGGCUACAUGUUCCUUUCCCUCUUUUCUACUUACACUAUCUAAAAUCAAAUGACAAAAAGUAUAGGAAGAUUAUAAUAACACAGCUGAAAUUACUUCUUUCAUAUCUUUUUAAUUUUUUUAAUAUUUUUUUAUUAAGUGUUAUUGAUGUGAAAAGAAUAUUAAAAAAUAAAAAUAGUGUGAGAGAAAUAGUUUUAGGUGUGUAAAUAUAAUCUCUCAAAGGUAUAUUGUAAAUAAAUAAUAUCAAUAGUGAUUUUUAGAGUAAAAAUGUUCUUUUUCGUUAACAUAAACAGUACAGAAAAUGUUUCAUUAAAACUUUUUUUUUUUGAGAUUAACAUGGCCCUUCAUAAUUCAUAAUUUGAUAUUUAAAUUAGAGUAGUACUAAGUAAAUUAAAUUUACAAACUAAUUGAUGUGUCAUUAAUAAAAACGAAUUCCCUUAGCAUUUCCUUAAAUUAAAACUUGAAUCGAGUAAAUAAUCAAUUCGCGAUUAGAAACAUAAAGCUAAGUUUCGUGUUGUAAACUAAAAUAAUAAAUCGUUUUACAAACAGAUUCCAAAUUGAAGAAAUAUAAAUACAAAUAAGAUUCUCAAGGCUAAAAUAGGCUUAAUGUCUAAAUUAAUUUAAAAAUAAUAUUUGGCUACUCAAAACAUGAGUAGGAGCUCUUAUUCAAAAAGUUUUAUUUUUAAUUAUAGAACUUCAUAUUUAUGAUUAGAAACUUUCACAUUAUAAAACAUUUUAUAAAGGUCAUAUAUGCAAAAAAAAAAUCAAUUAAAACUAAGGUUAUUUAGUUAUCAAACUGUAUUAGGACAGAUGGACAUAGAUAAUAAAAGUAUUAUAAAUUGUCUAUCUGCUUGCUACAGUUUGAUUGACUUACCGACUUUAUUUUUAAUUCAUUUUUUGUAGAGACAAUUUUUAUAGAGGAUUUAUAAUUUAACGGUUCUGAUUAUAAACACAAAAUUUUGAGUCUGACAAGAAAAAUUUUAGAUGAUAAUUACUACUCACCUUAAGUUGCCAAACAUUAUUCGUAUUCAAACUAAUAUAAAUUGUGGUAAAACAUUCAAACAAUGUAACUACAUUAAUGUUGUUUCAAUACUAACCGUUCAAUUAAAAGUCUAUGUUGUUUUAUAUACAAGAAAAAUGCUAAGAAAACUCUCUUAAAGUAAGACUGUUUUAUGGAUUAUCUGUCAUUUCAUAUUAUUGACACAAUCUUAUAAUAAUAACACGAAAAUUGUGUUAAAAACAUGAAGUUAUAAAUAGAAAAAUGGAUUUGAAAGAAUGUCUUAGCAUUUAUCUAAACACAAAACUAAUUAAGUGGUAACUAAAGGAAAAUGGAUUUGAGGGUUGAUCAUUUAAAUAGAGUUUUAACGAAACAUUCCUGGUAUUGUUCAAUUUAACGAAAAAUGAUAUUUUUACUCUAAAAAGUCACUCAUGAUACUAUUCACUUACAACACAUUUUUAUUUUUUUUAUUAAAACUUGAAGUUUUCAAAUCAUUUUCAUUAUUUUUCCUUAAAAAAAAUAGUAGCAUACAAGUUAAUAUAUAGUUACAGAUUGAAGAAGAUAAAGUAAUACUGAAAGUUCUUGAGUUUUGUUUUAAUUUUUUUUAUUACGAAAGGUUUGAACAAAAAAAAACAAUCAUUGCAAUUCAUUUCUUGCACAAACUCCUCAUGUUUUAAACUGCAAACAGAGUGUAAUGAAGAUGAAAACAAAUUUCUACAAUAUUUUGUAUCGUUUCAAGGAAUGCCGUUCUCAACGGAGAAUCUCAGUGAGAUAUAGAUGGGAGAUAUUGCCAAACUUUUAAAAAUAUGUGUUGUUGUGAUCGGGGAAGAACUCGGUCCGAUUCCGACUGAACCAAGUUGGUGACAUGAAACAAGGUUGAGUGGAGACGCCAACCCUACCUGAUACGCCAGCUUCCCUCCCAAGACACACCACCGAAAAUAUUAUCACUGUCCCAUCAUUAUCACCAGCACCUUCCUCAAUCCCAUCACACCUGACCACGUCACCAGCCCCGUACAACUUCAAUAAAUAUUAGCUCCCCAAUAAAAUUGGCUCUCAAGGCAAAAAGCUCUCUAACUUGAACAAGGAUGGUAUGCCCUCUCACUUUUUAUGUUCUUUCGUACCUUUUAGUUUGUGUGGUCACGGUUAAGCCAUGUUAAUAUUUUAUAUUAUUAUUUAUUUUUAUUUUAUUAUUUUUAUAAAAAAUAUAAAAUAUUAACAUAAAUUAACCGUGAUCACAUUAAAAAAAAGUACAAGAGGGCACCGAAAAUGGAAAGGCAGACAAUAUGUCCCUCUAACUUUGUUAUGUUCUUUGUUAUGUUUAGAUAUACGUAUGCAGUUUUACCGUUGUUUU
rnacentral:lncRNA from 1 species